rnacentral:rRNA from 1 species
CCUACGGGGUGCAGCAGUGAGGAAUAUUGGUCAAUGGACGAGAGUCUGAACCAGCCAAGUAGCGUGAAGGAUGACUGCCCUAUGGGUUGUAAACUUCUUUUAUAUGGGAAUAAAAUGUUCCACGUGUGGGAUUUUGUAUGUACCAUAUGAAUAAGGAUCGGCUAACUCCGUGCCAGCAGCCGCGGUAAUACGGAGGAUCCGAGCGUUAUCCGGAUUUAUUGGGUUUAAAGGGAGAGUAGGUGGAUUGUUAAGUCAGUUGUGAAAGUUUGCGGCUCAACCGUAAAAUUGCAGUUGAAACUGGCAGUCUUGAGUACAGUAGAGGUGGGCGGAAUUCGUGGUGUAGCGGUGAAAUGCUUAGAUAUCACGAAGAACUCCGAUUGCGAAGGCAGUUCACUGGACUGCAACUGACACUGAGGCUCGAAAGUGUGGGUAUCAAACAGGAUUAGAUACCCUUGUAGUC